GCGCGACCGAAUACGGACAACUCGCUGACGACUAUUCUGCUGACCGACGGCUUGCUGCAGUGACUUUUUGUUGACCGACGAAAUGAUGACCCCGACAGUUUGUUAAAAAGACAAAUGCGACAGCGAUGCGAUGCGAUGCGAUGCGAUGCGAUGCGAUGCGAUGCGAUGCGAUGCGAUGCGAUGCGAUGCGAUGCGAUGCGAUGCGUCGGUGAACGACAUUUUGCUGAACGACUUUUGUGAACACCGACUACUUGUUGGUGACAUUCUGCUGUUUGGAGAAACCGAAGAAACCUAAGGAAAACAACAGGUGGGCGAACUGACGUGCUACCGGCCGAAGGCCAUAAGGACGCAGACGGUGCAAUCGAUUGGGUAGACGUCAAUUGCCAAGCAGGUAUAACCGCGACCGGCGAGGUAAAGAACAGAGCAGUGAAAUCCUGCAGACCGGAUUCGAACGCGCUACACUGAUUGGAUUGCUGUAACCA